CCCCCCAGCGGAAAAAUGGCCAAAAAACGGGUGGGCUAUAGCCUUGGUGGGGGGCGUGGGCGAAGUUCGUCCGCGGGACUCGGAAUGUCACCAGACUUGGCGGGCGGCCUCCGUGUGCCAAAAAUAGGCCACGGGCACAGCCGCGCCCAAAAAACAGCCCCCGAAGUUCGGGGUCCCAAGACCCCCCAGCGGAAAAAUGGCCAAAAAACGGUGGGCUAUAGCCUUGGUGGGGGGCGUGGGCGAAGUUCGUCCGCGGGACUCGGAAUGGCACCAGACUUGGCGGGCGGCCUCCGUGUGCCAAAAAUAGGCCACGGGCACAGCCGCGCCCAAAAAACAGCCCUCGAAGUUCGGUGUCCCAAGACCCCCCAGCGGAAAAAUGGCCAAAAAACGGGUGGUCUAUAGCCUUGGUGGGGGGCGUGGGCGAAGUUCGUCCGCGGGACUCGGAAUGGCCCCAGACUUGGCGGGCGGCCUCCGUGUGCCAAAAAUAGGCCACGGGCACAGCCGCGCCCAAAAAACAGCCCCCGAAGUUCGGGGUCCCAAGACCCCCCAGCGGAAAAAUGGCCAAAAAACGGGUGGGCUAUAGCCUUGGUGGGGGGCGUGGGCGAAGUUCGUCCGCGGGACUCGGAAUGGCACCAGACUUGGCGGGCGGACUCCGUGUGCCAAAAAUAGGCCACGGGCACAGCCGCGCCCAAAAAACCACCCCCGAAGUUCGGGGUCCCAAGACCCCCCAGCGGAAAACUGGCCAAAAAACGGGUGGGCUAUAGCCUUGGUGGGGGGCGUGGGCGAAGUUCGUCCGCGGGACUCGGAAUGGCACUAGACUUGGCGGGCGGCCUCCGUGUGCCAAAAAUAGGCCACGGGCACAGCCGUGCCCAAAAAACAUCCCCCGAAGUUCGGGGUCCCAAGACCCCCCAGCGGAAAAAUGGCCAAAAAACGGUGGGCUAUAGCCUUGGUGGGGGGCGUGGGCGAAGUUCGUCCGUGGGACUCGGAAUGGCACCAGACUUGGCGGGCGGCCUCCGUGUGCCAAAAAUAGGCCACGGGCAGAGCCGCGCCCAAAAAACAACCCCCGAAGUUCGGGGUCCCAAGACCCCCCAGCGGAAAAAUGGCCAAAAAACGGUGGGCUAUAGCCUUGGUGGGGUGCGUGGGCGAAGUUCGUCCGUGGGACUCGGAAUGGCACCAGACUUGGCGGGCGGCCUCCGUGUGCCAAAAAUAGGCCACGGGCACAGCCGCGCCCAAAAAACAGCCCCCGAAGUUCGGGGUCCCAAGACCCCCCAGCGGAAAAAUGGCCAAAAAACGGGUGGGCUAUAGCCUUGGUGGGGGGAGUGGGCGAAGUUCGUGCGCGGGACUCGGAAUGGCACCAGACUG
rnacentral:lncRNA from 1 species